rnacentral:lncRNA from 1 species
AUUUUGGAACGGAAUCCAAACGGAAUAAAAUCCCCGAAAUAUUUUUUUCCUGAACGGAAGAAGAUCAGGGGGCUUGAGGGCCAACCCAGGAGAGCUACAGGGGGGCCACAAGCCCUGUAGCCGCCACCAGGGGGCGGCUAGUAGGCUUGUGGCCUCCCUGCCGCCCCCGUGACCUAGCUCCUUCGCCUAUAUAUUCCCUAAAAUACAGAAAAAAAUCAGGGAAUCCACGAAAACACUUUUCCGCCGCCGCAAGCUUCCGUUUCCGCGAGAUCUCAUCUGGAGACCCUUCCCGGUGCCCUGCCGGAGGGGACUUUGGAGUUGCAGGGCUUCUACAUCAACAUCAUCAACCCUCCAAUGAAUCGUGAGUAGUUCACUUCAGACCUACGGGUCCGUAGUUAGUAGCUAGAUGGCUUCUUCUCUCUCUUGGAUCUUCAAUACAAAGUUCUCCAUGAUCUUCAUGGAGAUCUAUCCUUUGUAAUCCUAUUUGGCGGUGUGUUUGUCGAGAUCCGAUGAAUUGUGGAUUUGUGAUCAGAUUAUCUAUGAUAUAUAUU